ACGAACUGCCUUUCUUCGGAAAGAACAGUUAGUGGCAAACGGGAGCGUAACACAUUGGUAACCUACCUCGAGCUCGUGAACAACCAUUAGAAAUGAUGGCUAAUACACGAUAUGGAUGGGGGGUCUUCCGACAUUCCCAUUGAAAGCUUCGGCGGCGCGAGAGGGGCCUAUGUCCUAUCAGCUUGUUGGUGAGGUAAAAGCUCACCAAGGCUACGACGGGUACCGGGCGUGAGAGCGUGACCCGGCUCAUUGGGACUGAGACACUGCCCAAACACCUACGGGUGGCUGCAGUCAAGAAUCUUCCGCAAUGGACGAAAGUCUGACGGAGCGACACCGCGUGCAGGAUGACGGCCUUCGGGUUGUAAACUGCUUUUAUUAGGGACGAACAAAUGACGGUACCUAAAGAAUAAGAGGUUGCUAACUCUGUGCCAGCAGCAGCGGUAAUACAGAGACCUCAAGCGUUAUCCGGAUUUAUUGGGCGUAAAGGGUCCGCAGGCGGUCCUAAAAGUCAUAUGUCAAAUCUUCGGGCUCAACCCGAAGACCGCGUGUGAAACUAUAGGACUAGAGACUGGGAGAGGUACACGGAAUUGUCGGUGUAGGGGUAAAAUCCGUUAAUAUCGACAAGAACACCAAAGGCGAAGGCAGUGUACUGGAACAGUUCUGACGCUGAGGGACGAAAGCGUGGGUAGCGAAUGGGAUUAGAUACCCCAGUAGUCCACGCCCUAAACGAUGAAUGCUAGUAUUGGGAGUAUCGAC
rnacentral:rRNA from 1 species